GAUGAACGCUGGCGGCGUGCCUAAUACAUGCAAGUCGAGCGAACGGACGAGAAGCUUGCUUCUCUGAUGUUAGCGGCGGACGGGUGAGUAACACGUGGAUAACCUACCUAUAAGACUGGGAUAACUUCGGGAAACCGGAGCUAAUACCGGAUAAUAUUUUGAACCGCAUGGUUCAAAAGUGAAAGACGGUCUUGCUGUCACUUAUAGAUGGAUCCGCGCUGCAUUAGCUAGUUGGUAAGGUAACGGCUUACCAAGGCAACGAUGCAUAGCCGACCUGAGAGGGUGAUCGGCCACACUGGAACUGAGACACGGUCCAGACUCCUACGGGAGGCAGCAGUAGGGAAUCUUCCGCAAUGGACGAAAGCCUGACGGAGCAACGCCGCGUGAGUGAUGAAGGUCUUCGGAUCGUAAAACUCUGUUAUUAGGGAAGAACAUAUGUGUAAGUAACUGUGCACGUCUUGACGGUACCUAAUCAGAAAGCCACGGCUAACUACGUG
rnacentral:rRNA from 1 species